rnacentral:tRNA from 1 species
GAGUUAGUAGCUUAAUUGGUAGAGUCUUUUCUUGUCGAGAAAGAGGAUGCCGGAUCGUGACCGGUCUAACUCG